rnacentral:rRNA from 1 species
GGUAAAAUCCGUAGAGAUCACUAGGAAUACCGAAAGCGAAGGCAAGUUACUGGAACAGUACUGACGCUGAGGCGCGAAAGCGUGGGGAGCAAACAGGAUUAGAUACCCUGGUAGUCCACGCCCUAAACGAUGGAUGUUAGUCGUUGGGAAGCUAGUCUUCUCAGUGAUGCAGCUAACGCAUUAAACAUUCCGCCUGGGGAGUACGGCCGCAAGGUUAAAACUCAAAGGAAUAGACGGGGACCCGCACAAGUGGUGGAGCAUGUGGUUUAAUUCGAAGAUACGCGAAGAACCUUACCCAGCCUUGACAUCGAUGGAACCCGCUAGAAAUAGUGGGGUGCCCCUUUUGGGGAGCCUGAAGACAGGUGCUGCACGGCUGUCGUCAGCUCGUGUCGUGAGAUGUUGGGUUAAGUCCCGCAACGAGCGCAACCCUCAUGCUUAGUUACUAACAGUUCGGCUGAGGACUCUAAGCAGACUGCCCGGGCAACCGGGAGGAAGGUGGGGACGACGUCAAGUCAUCAUGGCCCUUACGGCUGGGGCGACACACGUGCUACAAUGGGUAGGACAGAAAGAUGCAAUACUGCGAAGUGGAGCAAAACUCUAAACCUACUCUCAGUUCGGAUUGUAGUCUGCAACUCGACUACAUGAAGCUGGAAUCACUAGUAAUCGCGAAUCAGCCAUGUCGCGGUGAAUACGUUCCCGGGUCUUGUACUCACCGCCCGUCACACCAUGGGAGUUGAGUUCACCCGAAGCGGGGAUGCUAAAAUAGCUACCCUCCACGGUGGGCUCAGCGACUGGGGUGAAGUCGUAACAAGGUAACCGUAGGAGAACCUGCGGCUG